AUUGAACGCUGGCGGCAUGCCUUACACAUGCAAGUCGAACGGCAGCGCGGACUUCGGUCUGGCGGCGAGUGGCGAACGGGUGAGUAAUACAUCGGAACGUACCCUGUUGUGGGGGAUAACUAGUCGAAAGAUUAGCUAAUACCGCAUACGACCUGAGGGUGAAAGUGGGGGACCGCAAGGCCUCACGCAGCAGGAGCGGCCGAGGUCUGGUUAGCUAGUUGGGGGGGAAAAGGCCCACCAAGGCCACGAUCAGUAGCUGGUCUGAGAGGACGAUCACCCACACUGGGACGGAGACACGGCCCAGACUCCACGGGAGGAAGCAGUGGGGAAUUUUGGAAAAGGGGGGCAACCCUGAUCCAGCAAUGCCGCGUGUGUGAAGAAGGCCUUCGGGUUGUAAAGCACUUUUGUCCGGAAAGAAAUCGCGCUGGUUAAUACCUGGCGUGGAUGACGGUACCGGAAGAAUAAGCACCGGCUAACUACGUGCCAGCCGCCGCCGUAA
rnacentral:rRNA from 1 species